rnacentral:lncRNA from 1 species
UUUUAAAUUUUAAAUUUUAAAUUUUAAUUUUAUAUUUUGAAUUUUUAUUUUUAAUUUUUAAAAUUUUAUUUUUAAAUUUUGAAUUUUGAAUUUUGAAUUUUGAGUUUUGAAUUUUGAAUUUUAAAAUUUUAAAAAUUUAAUUGUUAUAAAUACUGCGGAAUUGUAUGAUAUGUAUCCAAACUGCUUAAAAAUGAAGCUGUGGAAUUUUUUUGUAGUUACAGGAUUCCGUAUUUCAUUUAGACCAAAACCAUAGAAUAAAAAUUCCAUGGAGUUUUUUAACUAUGCAUCCAAACAGGGCCUAAAUGAUUUAGGAUUAACAUGCUUUAUUGGGAAUAACUUGUUCCA